ACGAAGGGGGCUAGCGUUGUUCGGAAUUACUGGGCGUAAAGCGUGCGCAGGCGGCCUUUUAAGUCAGGGGUGAAAGCCCAGAGCUCAACUCUGGAAUUGCCUUUGAAACUAUUAGGCUUGAGUGCGGGAGAGGUGAGUGGAAUUCCCAGUGUAGAGGUGAAAUUCGUAGAUAUUGGGAAGAACACCGGUGGCGAAGGCGGCUCACUGGCCCGUUUCUGACGCUCAUGCACGAUAGCGUGGGGAUCAAACAG
rnacentral:rRNA from 1 species